rnacentral:lncRNA from 1 species
AUGGGAUUCAGGGAAAAAAUGGGAUUCAGGGAAAAUGGGAUGCAGGUGGUGAUGGGAGUCAGGGAAAAUGGGAUUCAGGGAAAAUGGGAUGCAGGGAAAAUGGGAUGCAGGGAAAAUGGGAUUCAGGGACAAUGGGAUUCAGGGAAAAUGGGAUUCAGGGAAAAUGGGAUUCAGGGAAAAUGGGAUGCAGGAGGAGAUGGGGUUCAGGGAAAAUGGGAUUCAGGAGGAGAUGGGAGUCAGGGAAAAUGGGAUUCAGGGAAAAUGGGAUUCAGGAGGAGAUGGGAGUCAGGGAAAAUGGGAUUCAGGGAAAAUGGGAUUCAGGAAAAAUGGGAUUCAGGGAAAAUGGGAUUCAGGGAAAAUGGGAUUCAGGGAAAAUGGGAUUCAGGGAAAAAUGGGAUGCAGGAGGAGAUGGGGUUCAGGGAAAAUGGGAUUCAGGGAAAAUGGGAUUCAGGGAAAAAUGGGAUGCAGUUAGAGGUCGGAAACAUGGAAAAAUGGGAUAUAGGGGGAGGUGGAAAAUGGGAUGGAGGGAAAGUGGGGAGCUGGAGCAGAUGGGAUGCAGGAAAAUGGGAAAAUGGGAAGCAGAGGAGAUGGGAUCCAGGGAAAAAUGGGAUGGAGGGAAAGUGGGGAGCUGGAGCAGAUGGGAUCCAGGGAAAAAUGGGAAUGAGGGAAAAUGGGAUGCAAGUGAAAUGGGAAAGAGGGAAAAUGGGAUACAAGUGGGAAUGGGAAGCAGGGAAAAUGGGAUAUGGGGGAGGUGGGAAAUUGGGAAAAUGGGAAGCACAGGAGAUGGGAUUCAGGGAAAAUGGGAUGCAGGUGGAAAUGAGAAAAUGGGAGAGAUGGGAGCAGGGAAAAUGGGAUGAAAGAGGCGAUUGGAAAUAUGGAAAAAUGGGAUGCAGGGGGAGGUGGGAAGUGGGGAAAAUGGGAAGCAGAGAAGAUGGGGUCCAGGGAAAAUGGGAUACAAGUGAGAUGGGAUUCGGGGAAAAUGGGAUGGAGGGAAAAGUGGGAAGCUGGAGGAGAUGGGAUACAGGGAAAAAUGGGAUGCAGGGAAAACGGGAAUAUGGGAAAAGGGGAUGCAAGUGA